CCUCCUAAUCUCCUUCCUAUACGAAAACUGAAUUUCCUUUUCUGACAACUGAGCAAGGCUCUGUGUAGAACAUAUAAUUAUGCUUCCCCAUAGAUUUCUGAAACUAUCACUUAGACAAGUUAUUCUCACCCAAUGACUGAAUCCCGUUCCUCACAGAAAAUGUGUAAUCCACUUUUGAGUUUGUUUGUAGACUUUAUCUUUGCCUUAGAGGAUGUCAGAUCCUGGUUGUAAAACGUCAGCUUAUACAGAUCGCUUCAUAGAUCCGGGAAUCACAAGACAACAAACAACUGAAGAAGGAAGGUUUGGGUUUUACUCACGUUUGAUUUCCAGCUUGGUUCCUUGGCCAAACGUCCACCACACAUGUGUACUUUGGUAGCAGUAAUAAACUCCGAUGUCGUCAGCCUCCACCCUGCUGAUUCUCAGGGUGAAAUCUGUCCCUGACCCGCUGCCACUGAACCUGUCUGGGACCCCAGAGUCCCGGUUGGAAACCUUAUAGAUCAGGAGCCGUGGAGACUGGCCUGGCUUCUGCAGGUACCAACUUAAAUAGGUGUUUCCAUUACU